rnacentral:rRNA from 1 species
AGUUCGGAUCGGAGUCUGCAACCCGACUCCGUGAAGCUGGAUUCGCUAGUAAUCGCGCAUCAGCCAUGGCGCGGUGAAUACGUUCCCGGGCCUUGUACACACCGCCCGUCAAGCCAUGGGAGCCGGGGGCGCCUGAAGUCCGGGACCGCGAGGACCGGCCUAGGGCGAAACUGGUAACUGGGGCUAAGUCGUAACAAGGUAAC